UACAGAGGUCUCAAGCGUUGUUCGGAUUCAUUGGGCGUAAAGGGUGUGUAGGUGGCGCGCUAAGUCGGGUGUGAAAUUUCGGAGCUUAACUCCGAAACUGCAUUCGAUACUGGCGUGCUUGAGGACUGGAGAGGAGACUGGAAUUCAUGGUGUAGCAGUGAAAUGCGCAGAUAUCAGGAGGAACACCGGUGGCGAAGGCGGGUCUCUGGGCCGAAAUUGACGCUGAGGAGCGAAAGCGUGGGGAGCAAACAGG
rnacentral:rRNA from 1 species